CAGGACACCUGUGCUGGUUCUCUCUUCCUGCCCUCCUCACAGAGCAGUCUGGAGUUGAUGACAGGAAAAUGUGGAGGUCCUGGAGUCUUCUUGUUCAGGCUCAGGUGAACCAGCCAUGAAUGUCCCCAAACCGACACCACACUGCAAUUCUGGUCAUUGAAGUUCCCCAAGAGACUUCAGGAACUCCUGACAUUCCCUGGUUCUCAGAAAUUUGGUGAGUUUUAUAAUCCCAAACGAAGAUCCUACACCAAAACUGUUAUUUCAUCUCCUAGGAAAAUUAAUCAGUGUCUUCCAUCAGCUCCUACAAGCUCCAUCUGUCAUGUCUUCAGUAGCCCUCCAGAAAACAUUGGAAAGCACAUCUACACGUUUCCUUCAAAACUCAAACCUAACGGUUGAUUAAAAAAAGGGAAAAAAAGGAGAGUUUGCAGACAAAGA